UCCACUCUUUCUCUCUCCCAACCCUUGUACCAGAGUGAUAAUGGGAACUCUGGUACAGAGGAUGGCUGAAAGGAAGCAGUGG
rfam:Xenopus laevis strain J chromosome 7L, whole genome shotgun sequence.